GUUUUGGUUUCAACCGGUAACCGGACCGCAUAAACGAACCAAAAGAUCGCUGAAGACACGGAAAAAACGAAAAUCAGUCUUUUCAGAGGCCUUCUGUGGUUUUGCCUAGUAAUUAAGGAUCUGAGCUGGAAACAGAAAGGUCACAUGUUUGAUCCCAGUGCUUUCAUGACUUUUUUCUGUCUGGAUCUAACUGUCAGGAACUCAGAAUGGAGGACUCAAUUGCAGUGAAAAAUCUCCCAUGUACUCUGCACACACAUCAGCGGACACAAGUAGAGGAGACCAACGAGAGGAAACAAACUCAAGGUGACCAACUGAAGGACAAGCCCAAGUCCAGCAAGUGAGACCAGUCUUGCUACAAACUUCUCGUCUUUGGUUCCUGAGCACAAUCACGAGCAGGUCACCAGAACAUUGGGGUCCAGUAUGGUGCUGCAGGACUCUGCCUGCUCUUUCCUCACCAGAAGUGAGGGGACAGAUGUCACAGAUUGAGCCGGCCCCCCUCCCACUGCCCCGCCUCUUCCCCUCCCUAUCAAAGGCCUGGGAGUGCCGGAAUACACAUCAAUCAUUCUGAGUGACAGAUUUGCGGUUUCUAUGGCUCCUUAUGAAGCAGUUGGUUGUAUUUCUGACAAUUCCAAAGCACAAAAUCAAUCGGCACAUUUCAUUACGCUCACACACAUUCCACACAGAGGUAUGUAAUGCAGAUGCUGCUGCCCUCUUCUGUCAUUCUGACAAACUGCAGCCUUUCACCACUCUCUUUACAACACACUUACACCAAGUACAGGAUACAUUACACUGAUUUAUUUCCAGAAAUACUUGUAUGUAUACUGUAUACUUUCACUUUUUAAGAGAGUGACACACAUUACCACAGAUUGAGUUGUGUCUUUCUGAUAAGUGGUGUUCUGUAAACGUCAGCACAUUCCCAACUUGACCUUUAUCUUUCAGGGGUCAGAUGUCAAGGAUCAUGAUGAGUAACUCAGUAACGUGGGAAACCCCUAAUCAAAGGCACAACAAUAGUGUACAAGUGUGAACUAAUUAAUAUCUUCCUCCAAAUUCAGGGUACUAGAAUAAGAUUUUUAUUUCCGUGUGUCAUUGAUUCAGUGGAACAACUCUCCUCUCCUAAAACUGUGUAUAUCAAGUGUUUCUGCAUCCGUUUGUAAGUAAAUACCAGCAAGUGUUCUUAGUUGGUGUGCGUUUCAAUUGAUCUUUAUCUCAUCUUUGAAGUUUGACUUAUGCCCUCUCAACUGUGACCCCAUGUUGGAUAAAGGUGCGGAGGGGUCGGGUAAUUCAUUCACAAAAUGAACAUACACACAAAAGUUCUCUCAGUCCUCUCAACAGCACAGCACAAAACUAAAGAGUAUGCAUAUCAAGAGAGAAGAAAAGAAAAAAACAGAGGAAAAGAUUGAUUAAAAAAAAAAAAUAGUGCGGAAACAGAAAGAAACAGUGAGUGUGUGUUUUGUGUCUUUUUCCUUCUUUCAAAUUUUCUACUUUUGGGGAGAAAUAUGUGGAAUUCUGCAAAAUUGACACAAGGUCAAAUGUGUGAAAAUAGAGCUAAGAGUAUUCAUAGACACACCCUUAUAGGAACACCCAGCUGGACGGCAAAACAAGGUUGUCCACCACUGCCUGCCAGUUAUUUUUUAAAGAUACACUAUGUAACUUUUGGCCUAUUAGCAGUUAAAAAACAAAACUGCAUGCAUUUUGCGGAAGAACAUUGUUUUGGUUGUGCUUCGGCUGUGAGUGACAGUGCGGAUGAAUAUGGUUAUCCUACAUCUCAUAAAACAUGCACUACUAGGCUUAAUAGAUAAAACCAGUUUAGAUGGGAAGGAUCUUAAGCUGUGUGAAGGAAAAUUUUAAUUAAUGAUAACUAACAUUCCUUUUUCUUGCAUGAGUAACAUUUAUAUGCUUUUGAAAACUAAAUGUCCCCAACACUUUGAGCCAAAGUGUUUGUUGAAAUACCGGAUGCAGAUGGACAAGACUAGACGACUGUCUAAAUAUAUAACCUCAUGACUUGAAUAACAAACUGAAGUAAUAAAGAAAUCCAGAUUUGCGUUUUCCUAGUAACAGAGGAGGGUUUGCUGAAUUACACAUGAAGAACCCAUCAUAUUAGAGAACAAUUAGGUAAUGAGCAGUGUUGGGCUCGCUACUCAAAAAAUGUAAUUUAUUAAGUAAUAUUAUUACUUUACGUAUUACUUUAUGGUCACAGUAAUUAGUUACACUACUAGUUAUAUUACUUUUCCUUCACGCCCCCCACAGAAGUUGUAUUUGUAUAUCUUCCCCAUAAAAUUCUUCUAAAAUGUUAUUACAAACAUAUUUCUGCCUCAUCAUUUGACCAAAAUCCACACUGGAUCACAGUCAGAAGUUAUUACAAACACUCAAUGGUAAUUGCUAGUGACUUUUAAGUAGAAGUGUUUUAAUCGUAUUAAUUGUUAGUGUAGCUUGAAGCAAAUUGUAGCUAUAAUUUCUCUGUUACCCAUAUAUGAUUAUAUUUCAUGUAUUUUACCAAAAGAAAUCACAAUAUUUCAUAAGAAAAAACUUUUGUCUUCCAAAAAAGAUUUUUAAUUAUAGUAAUAUUAUUUAUAUCGGGAUCAGAGGGAUGUGAGCCAUGUAAUGCCAGAGUAAAGUAAUGCCACAACUUACACAACGGUGUUCAGAUCGUCUUUUCUCCUGACAAAAUCAAUGUAAUGGCAAUAUUCCAUCUGCUGAAUGUAAGCUUUUCCAUAUUCCAAGCUUGCCUGCUGCACUGGUGACUUCAUGUGCCUGUGCAAGUCGUGAAAAUUAUGAAAAUAAAACUAGGAAUUAUUGAAUUGUUGUAUUUCAAAUCAGUAGGCAUCUUACUGAUCUUCCAAAACUUCCAGAUACUAGAAGAUAAAUCUAUAAAGCCUAUAAAAAAAGCAGUAUUCAUGUAUAUUACUACACUUUAGUAUGUGAUUCUUAUAUUUGAUCAGAAAAAGAAAAUGAUCAGAAAAUCAACUUGCAUAGUAAUUAUGCAUGCACUGUAUUUCAAUUCCCAAGUGAUAGUGCUUAAGUGAAACACUUGAGACCUAUUCUCAAGUGUGAUAGUGUUCUCAAGUGUCGAAGAGGAGAUACCUAGUAGAGUAUAAAUUUGUAAGUGUCGAUUAGGAGACUCCCCAGAUUAACUUAAGUCUGGUGCGUAGGGGAAGUCUGUCACAGCUGACUGUAGCUAUACUCAUUAACAGACACGGUACUUCUUUGAAAAUAAAUUCCAGCAUAGUGCUACAACAACCCUAAUGAAAUGACCCUUCACCUUACACUUUACAAUAAAUUCUUUUAGAGAGCUACUGUACAUAUGACAACUUAUCUGUUCAAUAAAAUACUGUUGAAUAAUAAAAUGCCAUAUCAGCGUUUCUUCUACAGCAUUUCAAAUCCCUCAGUUCUCACCAUCUCCGAAAAGCCAAGCCAAUCUUGAUUCUUGUUUUGUCACAUUCUCUUUUUGCAAACAGAAGCUUCUCUAUUGGGCAUUUUUUUUUAAAAAUGGUGAUUUCCCGGAGGUUUGAAAUUUAGUUGCUCCAUGUCAACCUUUCUCACUCGUAACAAAUAACCUGUGCCACUCCCACAUGCGUCAAAGUAAUUGUUGUGGUGACAAAUCAGGUCCUCCCUCAAAACCGGGUCUCUAUUAGGACCCCAAGCGUACUUUUAAUAGGUACUCUGUUUAGCGCCUGAUUACAAUUCCUACAAAAUCAUGCAAUGAUAAAUGCUGUUUGAACUACAUUAUAAUGACCAUUAAUGUCUGUAUUAUUUUUAGCUUAUGUACCAGCAUAGCAUAUAGAUAGCUGAUUACCCUGAUUGCUUAGUUAAUACAUGCAUUAUACACUUACAGUCUUAAAUGUAAUUGUGUUAAUUUGUUAAAUGUCCAAAUAUUUCAGUUAUAAAAAGUAUGUAGUGAUGUUCAA